rnacentral:rRNA from 1 species
GACGAACGCUGGCGGCGUGCUUAACACAUGCAAGUCGAACGGAAAGGCCCCUUUGUGGGUACUCGAGUGGCGAACGGGUGAGUAACACGUGAGUAACCUGCCCUUCACUUCGGGAUAACUUCAGGAAACUGGGGCUAAUACCUGAUAGGAAUCCUUGCUGCAUGGUUGGGGUUGGAAAGCUUCGGCGGUUUUGUGUGGACUCGCGGCUUAUCUGCUUGUUGGUGGGGUAGUGGCUUACCAAGGCUUUGACGGGUAGCCGGCCUGAGAGGGGGACCGGCCACAUUGGGACUGGGGUACGGCCCCGACUUCUAAGGGGGGCAGGCGUGGGGAAUAUUGCACAAUGGGCGGAAGGCUGAUGCAGCAACGCCGCGUGCGGGAUGACGGGCCUCGGGUUGUAAACCGGUUUCAGCAGGGGAGAAGCUUGUGGUGACGGUACCUGCAGAAGAAGCACCGGCUAACUACGUG